UUAAUUCUUGCAUACAUUAUAUGUAGAACUGAUCGACGGAAGCAGCGGGGUGCCAAAAACUGGGAGGAGAAGCACCUUGCAUAUGUGAAUGCUUGGAAUGGUCGAGGCAACAACAUAGUUUAUGGUGGCCCUGUUCACCGUGAGGCCCAGUUCAAUAUAUAUUUGGACUGGUUGAAGCAAAACACACGGCUAAAGCUCAAGGCUGCAUUGGACGAUACCCACAUCGAGGAUCUACCUUCGGACCCCGAAGAUGUCUUUGCCGAAUAUGAUGCUCACUCGAGAAUGGGUACGCAGCCCGAGCGAGGACCCUUUGAAGACUACAUUGGGCAGCAACUUAGUCGUUUUGAUAACGAGGCGGGACAAGCGUUGAGGGUGCCAAUAGGAUCUCCGGAUGAGGCCACCGUGCUGAGGGGAUUCUUACAGAGGUUUAGACGGGGUUGCCGAAAAAUGGCAUUCAAACUGAACUGCAUAGCGGGACAAGGACAACCAGCGGCCGAUGAUGGUGAACCUUCCGGGUCACACCAUCGC